GAUGAAGAACGUAGCGAAAUGCGAUACUUGGUGUGAAUUGCAGAAUCCCGUGAACCAUCGAGUCUUUGAACGCAAGUUGCGCCCGAAGCCAUUAGGCCGAGGGCACGCCUGCCUGGGUGUCACGCGUCGUUGCCCCCCCAUCUACUCCUUCGGGAUUGCGGGGGGCGGAUGAUGGCCUCCUGUGCGCCUCGUCGCGCGGUUGGCAUAAAUGCCAAGUCCUCGGCGACGCACGCCACGACAAUCGGUGGUUGCGAAACCUCGGUUGCCCGUCGUGUGCGGUCGUCGCGCAUCGAGGGCUCGAAAAAAUUGCCGGGCUCCGGCUCGGCUUUCAACGCGACCCCAGGUCAGGCGGGGUUACCCGCUGAAUUUAAGCAUAUCAAUAAGCGGAGGA
rnacentral:misc_RNA from 1 species